UCGAGAAUUUUUCACAAUGGGCGCAAGCCUGAUGGAGCGACGCCGCGUGGGGGAUGAAUGGCUUCGGCCCGUAAACCCCUGUCAUUUGCGAUCAACCGUUAUUAUUUAAAAGAUGAUAACCUGAUAGUAGCGAAAGAGGAAGGGACGGCUAACUCUGUGCCAGCAGCCGCGGUAAUACAGAGGUCCCAAGCGUUGUUCGGAUUUACUGGGCGUAAAGGGUGCGUAGGUGGCGGUGUGUGUCGGAUGUGAAAUCUCCGAGCUCAACUCGGAAAGUGCAUUGGAAACUACAUUGCUAGAGGGUUGGAGGGGGGACUGGAAUACUUGGUGUAGCAGUGAAAUGCGUAGAUAUCAAGUGGAACACCAGUGGCGAAGGCGAGUCCCUGGACAACUCCUGACACUGAGGCACGAAAGCUAGGGGAGCAAACAG
rnacentral:rRNA from 1 species